CUCCUCCCUCCCGACCGGAAGGCAUCUUCGCCCUCGAUCUGCGCACGCGCACCCUAAGGGCUGGCCGCGGCCCAAUCAGGGGUGAGAUCGAAAGGGAUGUGGGUGGGGCUCUUCCUUCGGCGGAGCCAAUCCUGAGGCGGCCCGCGGGACAAGGCCCACAGGCUGCACGUGAGGCUUCUACACCAGGGAGGGGGCGCUCCGAGGACCUGAACUACAGGAGGCGCUCAGCACGUGUUUGCAUGCCCAGGAGAAAGAGCAGUUUAGCAGUGUCCCAGCUGUCCAUUCCACUUGAAGAGUUGGUCUUUGCUUUUGCCAAACUAAGAACACCAUGCAAGUAUUGAGAAGAGAUUCCUCAAAACAAAAGAGCAGUCUUCAUUCAAAAAAUAAAUCAGAACCCUGAUCAGAAGGCUCAGUUGGUUGGCGUGUCGCCUGUACACCAAAAGGUGGAAAUCUUAGGGAAGUUCUCAGGGGAGGAUUUUAAUAGAAGUCAUCAGCUCUCCAGGUGUGCUCUUUCAGGGUCAUGAUCUCCGCGGAUUGGUCUGUACCAGGGCAGGGGGUCAGUCAAUGUAGCUGGUUCUGAGGCAGCCAUGGUGUCACUUGUCUGGUUUUGCUGCUUUUCUGGUUCUGGUGCUGAUAUGCAACUGAGGCCUAAAUGUUAUCUUUAGAAAGGAAAAGGUUAAGGGGUCUAAACCACCUGACCAGUGAUAUGAGAGAUCCAAGGUCCAAACUGUAUGACCAGUGAUAUGCUAGGGGGAGGAUAGGUUGCUCUGGGGGCAAGGUUCUUGUUUUCCCAGUUUUGCCCCUUGGUAGGCAUCUGGAGCUUUCUGCCAUGGUGGGUUUCUGUACCUGGCCAUCGUCCUUGCUCUGAGGGUCUAAAAACCUCUCCUCUCCCCACCACCCCUCCCCCCCACCCCGCCUUCAAGGAUUUUUUUGCCACUGAAUUCUUUCAGAGAAAAGGGGCAUAGGUCUCUUCUAUAGCUGCUACCUGCUGAAAGGGGGCAACCUUUUCCUUCAAAGCAAAAGAUCCUUGCUCUCUGUCAGAGGGAUGAUGAGGCCUGGGCACUAAAGGAGGUUGUGAUGGUGUCUAGGGGUGGUAUUUCCUGAGUACAAGUAGGCCUUUUAACCUGGUGGAUACAAACUGUUUUAUAAAUGUUAAUAUUAUUGGGGCAAAAGCUAGAAUGACAAGAAUUAUGACAGAUAGUCCAAUAAAAGGAAAAAAGUUCCAGUUGUUAAAUAAUUUCAACUCAAAGGAUGAGAGAAAAAUGAAACAUUAAUUUAGAGGGUUGUAGUAAAAUAUUUAAGAAUCAGGAUCUAGUUUAGUUUAGCUAAUGGGUGAAAAAUAGAACUUUGAAGAUAAUGAACUUAACUAGAGUCUAACAUUUACCACUAUGUAUGUGGAAUCUAUUGAAACACAUUCUCCCUCCUAAAAUUACCCUCAUUUUUAUCAAAGAGUAUUUUAUCAAGUUUAGUUUUAAUUUGGUCUGAUUAUCUGCAUGAAUACAAGAAUAGUAAUGGAUUAUAUAGACUCUUUCAGAUCUAUUUUGCUGGAACUUUACUUACAGGGAACACUCAGAUUGAGCUUCAGUCGAUGUUUCUCUUUCUUUCUCCUCCUUCCUCUCCCUGAAAAUCAAUUUUAAAAAAAUAUAUCCUCAGGUUAGGAUUUUUAAAAAUCAGAAAACUACAACCUGCUUUAGAAUAGCAGCUUCUCCCAGGUUCUGGCCACCAAAAUUUAAGAAAUCUGAGUAUCAAGCCUCAGAGCACUCUAGCACAACACAACACAUUUUUUUCUUUUUCUGCCUCAUCAAUAGCACCUGCACAUACCCAAUGUUGAAAUAUAGACAGUUACCCACCAUGAAAAGUGGAAACCUCAGUCUGAAUCUCUGAGACUCAUCA